GACCGCGUAGCUCAGUUGGCAGAGCAUUGGGCUAGUAUUCCAAAGGUUGUAGGUUCGAUUCCCACCGUGGCUA
rnacentral:tRNA from 1 species